rnacentral:lncRNA from 1 species
AAGAAAAUCAAAUAAAUUUAAUUUUUAAAAACUCGAUAUCCGAUCUCUUAAACCACAUAAACAGAAUCCCUCAUGUCAUUUAAGAUUAAAGAAGAAAAAUAAAUAUCGCAUCUUCACCUUUGCGUUGGUAGGUCUUCACAGCUAUCUAAUGAUCGUGGAAUUAGAUUCUCUUGAAGCCGCACAAGCGUCUGACCUCUAUAAGUAUCCACACGAGAUUUGUGAUUAUUAUUGAUUUCCUCACCAGGGUGCUAGCUCCCUUACAAAGGACAACUUGCUGGCUAGAGGAUCAAAGAAAAGAAAAAAAGAGAGAGAAAUGACAGCUAGAAUUUUCUGAAAACUUCUGUAUCUUAUAAACAGAGAUAUAAUCUUUUUUAUAAUAAUAUAAUUACCAUUGAAGAUAAGAAUAAAUAGAGGUUUAAUUUUAUCCUUUUCUUAAUUUGUUCAAUCAAUUAAGUCCUAAUUUAAAUCGACUUGAACUACAUCCUAAUUUGAUCAAACCGAAUUAAUAAUACAAUAUUUGCAUAUAACUCCUCUCACAACAUACUAACUUUUAAUAAGUCCUCUUGUACAAUAUCUGCACUUUAAUACUACUAAUUUGUAACAAUUAUAAAUCACUCCAAUUAUCAACAUAUUGACAAUUAGGUCAUCCGGCGAUUCAAGAAUCGUGAUCUAGCUAUCUGAUCAGGCACAAACUCUUAUGUGUGUGAUCCUAUAGAUUCUACUCUAUUUAGUAGUGAGAUAUGUUCUGAUCAUUAUUAACAAUAUUACUGAAACUUCUUUCAGUGGGUUAGAACAAUUCCAACUUAACCUAAUAAAAAUUAUCGAUUAUCUAAAUAACUUUCAUCAGUCUCACAAUCCACCAGUGAUGCUUAGCAGUAUAUAGUAGCAUUCCAGUAUAAUCGAAUACUGAAUCUUUUGGUGCAAUUAUCGUGUAAUACAGUCCUUCUAUCAUGAGUCCCGACUAGACGGAGAUCAUGAAAUAGCUCGUCAAACACCAUCAUCUGUCAUAUGUCAAAUAACUCGAGUUUCUAAUAUCGGAAAUCCUUUCUGCUAUUAACUUUGUCUUGGUUAAGAACUUUUAAACUUGGUCUCAUAAAUCUCAUAGUACUAAGGCUCCUAUAUACCAUGGAAAAUAAAUUUUAUAUAGGCACACACCCUAUUCCCACAACGAACCUAAUGGAGCCAACAUGCACCGUAAGAACCUGAAUGGCUAGAGACCAAGUGUAUGUAUAGUCAAACUACAGUAACCUCACUAUGAAUAGCCGAGACACCGUAGGUCAAAGGACCAGUCACACUACUGUAACAUUGAGUAAGUCACUAACGAGUGAAUAGACAUCCAAAUAACUUGUCGUGUUGGUCACGCUCGGUAUCCUUGUUCUCUAACAACCACAUGUACAUUCGCUCCAAUGUCCCCACCUAUUGACUCGAGACUCGUUUAUCC